rfam:Myotis brandtii contig150918, whole genome shotgun sequence.
GGUGGUUCUCGGCUGACACACCCUGGAAUCGGGCUCCUUCCUCUCUGGUUCCAGGUGCAUCACCUGAGAACCACA